rnacentral:misc_RNA from 1 species
CAACCCUCAAGCCCCGCUUGGUGAUGGGCCGCGUCCGCGCGGCGGGCCCGAAACUCGUGGGCGUCGUCCGCCGGCUUCAAGCGUCGCAAGACCCUCGCUUCGGAGACCUGCGGGCGGCCGCCCCGGACACUUACUCACAAGG